UACGUAGGGUGCGAGCGUUGUCCGGAUUUAUUGGGCGUAAAGGGCUCGUAGGCGGCGUGUCGCGUCGGGAGUGAAAGACCGGGGCUUAACCCCGGUUCUGCUUCCGGUACGGGCAUGCUGGAGUGUGGCAGGGGAGACUGGAAUUCCUGGUGUAGCGGUGGAAUGCGUAGAUAUCAAGUGGAACACCAGUGGCGAAGGCGAGUCUCUGGACAUUUCCUGACGCUGAGGCACGAAAGCCAGGGGAGCAAACGGG
rnacentral:rRNA from 1 species